rnacentral:rRNA from 1 species
UGGUGGAGUGAUUUGUCUGGUUAAUUCCGAUAACGAACGAGACCUUAACCUGCUAAAUAGUUACGCAAAGGCGACUUUGCAGUAACUUCUUAGAGGGACAAAGUACAUCUAGUACUUGGAAGUUUGAGGCAAUAACA